AACGAACGCUGGCGGCAGGCUUAACACAUGCAAGUCGAACGGUUGUAGCAAUACAGCAGUGGCGCACGGGUGAGUAACACGUGGGAAUAUCCCUUUCAGUACGGAAUAACGUCGGGAAACAGACGCUAAUACCGUAUACACCUCCGGGUGAAAGAUUUAUCGCUGAAAGAUUAGCCCGCGUCAGAUUAGCUAGUUGGUGGGGUAACGGCCUACCAAGGCUCCGAUCUGUAGCUGGUCUUAGAGGACGAUCAGCCACACUGGAACUGAGACACGGUCCAGACUCCUACGGGAGGCAGCAGUGGGGAAUAUUGGACAAUGGGGGAAACCCUGAUCCAGCCAUGCCGCGUGAGUGAUGAAGGCCUUCGGGUUGUAAAGCUCUUUUGUCAGGGAAGAUGAUGACUGUACCUGAAGAAUAAGCCCCGGCUAACUUCGUGCCAGCCGCCGCCGUAAUAC
rnacentral:rRNA from 1 species